rnacentral:rRNA from 1 species
UGGGGAAUUUUCCGCAGUGGGCGAAAGCCUGACGGAGCAAUACCGCGUGAGGGAGGAAGGCCCUAGGGUCGUAAAGCUCUUUCGCCAGGGAAGAUAAUGACGGUACCUGGUAAAGAAACCCCGGCUAACUCCGUGCCAGCAGCCGCGGUAAUACGGAGGGGGUUAGCGUUGUUCGGAAUUACUGGGCGUAAAGCGCACGUAGGCGGACCAGUCAGUCAGAGGUGAAAUCCCAGGGCUCAACCUUGGAACUGCCUUUGAUACUGCUGGUCUGGAGUCCGAGAGAGGUGAGUGGAAUUCCGAGUGUAGAGGUGAAAUUCGUAGAUAUUCGGAGGAACACCAGUGGCGAAGGCGGCUCACUGGCUCGGUACUGACGCUGAGGUGCGAAAGCGUGGGGAGCAAACAGGAUUAGAUACCCCCGUAGUCC